rnacentral:rRNA from 1 species
CUUGCUCCUGGAUUCAGCGAGGACGGGUGAGUAAUGCCUAGGAAUCUGCCUGGUAGUGGGGGAUAACGUCCGGAAACGGGCUAAUACCGCAUACGUCCUGAGGGAGAAAGUGGGGGAUCUUCGGACCUCACGCUAUCAGAUGAGUCUAGGUCGGAUUAGCUAGUUGGUGGGGUAAAGGCCUACUAAGGCGACGAUCCGUAACUGGUCUGAGAGGAUGAUCAGUCACACUGCAACUGACACGGUCCAGACUCCUACGGGAGGCAGCAGUGGGGAAUAUUAAAAGGACAAUGGGCGAAAGCCUGAUCCAGCCAUGCCGCGUGUGUGAAGAAGGUCUUCGGAUUGUAAAGCACUUUAAGUUGGGAGGAAGGGCAGUAAGUUAAUACCUUGCUGUUUUGACGUUACCAACAGAAAGCACCGGCUAACUUCGUGCCAGCAGCCGCGGUAAUACGAAGGGUGCAAGCGUUAAUCGGAAUUACUGGGCGUAAAGCGCGCGUAGGUGGUUCAGCAAGUUGGAUGUGAAAUCCGGGCUCAACCUGGGAACUGCAUCCAUAACUACUGAGCUAGAGUACGGUAGAGGGUGGUGGAAUUUCCUGUGUAGCGGUGAAAUGCGUAGAUAUAGGAAGGAACACCAAAGUGGCGAAGGCGACCACCUGGACUGAUACUGACACUGGUGCGAAAGCGUGGGGAGCAAACAGGAUUAGAUACCCUGGUAGUCCACGCCGUAAACGAUGUCGACUAGCCGUUGGGAUCCUUGAGAUCUUAGUGGAGCAGCUAACGCGAUAAGUCGACGCCUGGGGAGUACGGCCGCAAGGUUAAAACUCAAAUGAAUUGACGGGGGCCCGCACAAGCGGUGGAGCAUGUGGUUUAAUUCGAAGCAACGCGAAGAACCUCUGGCCUUGACAUGCUGAGAACUUUCCAGAGAUGGAUUGGUGCCUUCGGGAACUCAGACACAGGUGCUGCAUGGCUGUCGUCAGCUCGUGUCGUGAGAUGUUGGGUUAAGUCCCGUAACGAGCGCAACCCUUGUCCUUAGUUACCAGCACCUCGGGUGGGCACUCUAAGGAGACCCUGCCGGUGACACAACCGGAGCAAGGUGGGGAUGACGUCAUCUACACACGUGCUACAAUGGUCGGUACGGAAAGGGUUGCC